CACUGCCUGUUGUCUACUGUCCAGAAAUAGUUGCCUUGUGUAUUUCAUCCAGUUAUCCAGUUGUUUACUAUGAGAGGAUUAAGUCCCAUCACGGUUACCCCAUUAUAGUCAGAAGCUGAGGUGAUAGAUUGGAGGCAUUUUUAGCAUGCCUCUCCCACUUGGAAAGACAAAAUAGUGUGUCGAGAUUCUCACUCUGAAAUUUUUUCCAAGAAGCAACACGGGAACUUAAUAGAAAAACCGAAAGGAGCUACAGACUCUUGGAAAGAAGCAGGAGGAAGUAGCCUCCACCACGAACCAGAUAUGUUUCAUCCAUGAAGAAUCACACAGAGACAUGGAGAGAGAGAGAGAGAGAGG
rnacentral:lncRNA from 1 species